CGACACCAUGCGCUCGGCCGCAGCGUCCAUGACGUCGCGCGUCAACGGCGCCGGAACGGCGCGCAGCCACUCGGCGACGACCGACGCGCAUAUCAUGGCGCCUCGCCUCCACCGCCGGCGGCGCGCGUGGGUCAUGUCGAGGUCGACAUAGGGGUCCCCGGCGUCCACCAUCGGGUAGCGAAAGACGACUUGCGCGUCGCCGAGGGCGUCGUCGUCCCAUGGCGCCGGGUGCUCGACGGCCCAGCGCAAGAGGCGGCACGCCAUGCGCGCCAUGCACCUCCAGCGCGGGUCCAUAAAGGCACGAUCGUGACGGUCGCGGCCGUUGACGAUCGCGCCCACGAGUUCGAUGGGCAGCGAGGCCAAGCCACUCGACUCGCCCCUCUCUCCUCCCGUCUCCAUGCUUUGGUGUUGCCUAUUUGUCGUUGUCGCUUCUUCUCAACGUUUUUGUCGUCGAUGGGGUCGAUCACAGAGUAUUUCUCUCUCUCUCUCUCUCUCUCUCUCUCU
rnacentral:lncRNA from 1 species